UACGGGGGGGGCAAGCGUUGUUCGGAAUUACUGGGCGUAAAGGGCUCGUAGGCGGCCAACUAAGUCGGACGUGAAAUCCCUCGGCUUAACCGGGGAACUGCGUCCGAUACUGGAUGGCUUGAGUUCGGGAGAGGGAUGCGGAAUUCCAGGUGUAGCGGUGAAAUGCGUAGAUAUCUGGAGGAACACCGGUGGCGAAGGCGGCAACCUGGACCGACACUGACGCUGAGGAGCGAAAGCCAGGGGAGCAAACGGG
rnacentral:rRNA from 1 species